UACUCUGAAACCUCCAAGUACUGUAGUGCAAAUCUCUUUAUCAUGAAAGUGAAACUUACAAAUGUAGAUUUUUUUGUUACAUAACUGGACUCAAAAACAAAACAAUGUAAAACGUUAGCGCGUACAAGUCCACUCAGUCCUACUUCUUGUUCAGCCAAUCGCUCAGACAAAGAAGUUUGGUUACAGCUGCAGGAGACAAUGCUGCUUGCUUCUUGUUUACAAUGAUACCUGACAGCGAGCACGGGCAUUUGCAUGACACUGUUGUAGCCAAGGUUGCAAGAUAUUUACGUUCCAGAUGCACUAAAGAUUCACAUGUCCCUUCAUGCUUCAGCCACCGUUCCAGAGGACACGUGUCCAGGCUGAUGAUGCUCGUUAAAAAUUAAUUAAAUGUGUGCCUGCCCUCCUGGGGGAGAACGGUAUGUCGCCUGCUCUGUCAGGGCAGCUGUCACAUGGGGGGAAAAGGAGCAGCCGGGCCCUUGCUCCCUGAAACCAAAGGCUGUGCGAUGGGGGCUGGGUGACCCCACUGCUCUGGGUGGGACGGGCCCCUAGUCCCCCUUGCCCCACGUGGGACACAUGACACGGGUGGGCGGUGACCUCACUGCUCGUGGGGCUGAUCCCCCGCCCGGGGCCCGGCACGUGCGCGCGCAGGCGGCGGGCGGGAACUGGCGCGAGGGCGGGCGGGGCCCGCUGUUCCCGCCCUUCCCAGGCCGCCUGCUGGCCAAGGUAGUUCUCUCUCCGGUCGGACGGCGGGGGUCAGGCGGCGGGUUCCGGUUCCGGGUCGCGCAGCCUGUCAUGGCGGCGCCCAGCGGGCCGGGGGAAGAGGCGGCGGCGGUGGCGGCCCCUGGGAGGAGGCAGCCGUUCGGGAGCCGCUUUCUGACCGACCCGAGCCGGCUCUUCCAGCACAACGCCUGGGAUAAUGUAGAAUGGUCUGAAGAGCAGGAAGCCAGUGCAAGGAACAAAGUUCAAGAGAACAGCAGGCAGCUUGUUCCACAAGACAAACAAGAUGAAUAUGAGCUCAAUGCUAAUGAAUACUGGAAUGAUUUCUAUAAAAUCCAUGAAAAUGGCUUCUUCAAGGACAGACACUGGCUAUUCACUGAAUUUCCUGAACUGGCACCAAACCAGAACCUAAGUCAACCUGAGGCUUCUGCAUACAAAGAUGGUUGCACCAGAAAACCCAGAAACACCGGGCGGGGGAGCUGUGAAAAUGGUCUUUGUUCAUUGGAAACCAGAAUACAAGAGCAUCAUCAGUUGGACUUGAUGAAAGACAGUAGUAAUAUCAUCAACAGACUCGACACAGAUGGAGAAGGAAUACUGAAGUUGGGUGACCUGAAACUAAGUGAUGGUGACUUCCCAGGAUCCUCUGCCACUUACCGUAUACUAGAGGUUGGCUGUGGUGCUGGAAAUACGGUCUUCCCAAUUUUGCAAACCAACAAUGAUCCAGGGCUCUUUGUUUAUUGCUGUGAUUUUUCCAACACAGCUGUGGAUCUUGUCCAGACCAAUUCAGAGUAUGACUCUUCCCGCUGUUUUGCCUUCGUUCAUGACCUGUGCAAGGACCAAAGCCCAUACCCAAUGCCAGAGAAGAGUCUUGACAUCAUUAUUCUCAUCUUUGUCCUAUCAGCUAUUCUCCCAGAGAAGAUGCAGUGCGUCAUUAACGGACUGAGCCGGCUUCUGAAACCAGGAGGAAUGAUUCUGUUACGAGAUUAUGGUCGUUAUGACCUGGCGCAGCUUCGAUUUAAGAAAGGUCGAUGUCUGUCCGAUAACUUCUACGUGAGAGGCGAUGGGACCAGAGUUUACUUCUUUACGCAAGACACAGACUAACACGGCUGCUACUCUGAAAUCUACCCUAUGGCUAAUCCUAUUGCUUCAUGUUCAAAAUGCAUGAAUGGAAAAGUAUUUGGGGAGGACUCCAUGAGUGCCUACUAAGCCAAACUCAAGGAGAGGGAUAUGGCUCAGAAGGAUGGACCAUCAAAGCGCGCAGACAGAUGGACGGUUCUUCUGAAACAUGUAACAAGUGCCAUAUAUAAAGAAUAGUACUGAUGUCACAGAAGGCUCAUCAAAGAAUACAGUGAUUGCCAUUGGGGAAGAUCAAAAGGAGGCAAGAGCAAUAUUUGGAAGAGAUCAUCUGGAGAGAUGGAUGCUGCAAAAGAGAGGAUUCUGGCAGAGAAAAAGAUGGUGUAGAAGGGCUUACUUAUCCUCUUGAGUGAGGACAUGUAGUUAUUACACACAUUGAUAAAUUUCCUAUUGCUAUACUAUCCAGCCUUUACAUCAUCAAGAAAAUACAUUUAUCCAAAUUAAGGAGUAUAUAUUCUGUCUCUCUCUCACCACUCAGUUCUUGUCCACCUUCCCCCAAACCAUCAAAACCAGCUUCUUUAUAAAGACCAGAACUGGGGGACUAGCCAACCUCUACAGUUCGUUAAAAACAAAAAGUUGAGUUUUGCCUCACAUGCAGUUAGGAGCUGGAUGGGAAACGGUUUUCCUGUCCUGUAAAACCGUUUGAGAUCUCAAAACAUUUUCCCAUCCCAAAUCCAGAUGAAAAGCUGAAAUCUCAAAACUUGUUGCCAGCUGAAAAUCUGGAAAAAAAAAUCAGUUUGGGUCCAUCAGAAUAUUUUUGUUUUGAUCAUUUUGAAACAUUUCAUUUCGAUUUCAACCGUUUUUACCAUUUUUUUUUACUUUCUACUAAUUUUAGCUUAAUUCUAAACAAAAAGUCCUUUAGAACCAGAAAACUGAAAAUUUUCAUUUAAAAAAGUCAAAAGGCAACAAUUUUGACAGAUUUUUCCAAAAUAAAAUUUUUAGUUUAAGAAAUCUGUUGAAACCAGCCCUUUCCCCAAAAAAAGUUUGGUGUUGAUUAAUUGGAUUUCUGAUUUAAAAAAAAGUUUUGUUGAAAAAUUCCCCACCAGCUCUAUGCUCAGUCCAGAGCUGGCAGUUUUCCAGCAGCAGCAAAUGCCAUUGCGGAUUGCCCAUCAGUGAGAAUGUUCAGGCACCUGCUACCACAAGGUCUUACCCUAGGACCCACAGUCUUAUUAAACGUUUAUUUUACAGUAGCACCUGAAAGGCCCAAACAGGAUGGGUGGGCAGAGUGAUGUACUAAGAUACAGAGUGAAGUUGUAAGUUUCUAAGGCAGAAACUCUAACACCUAAACAGAGCAAGGAUGGAGGGUGGGGUUAUCACAUACAAGCAAAUGACCACUGGGAUGAGUAGCACACUGAUGAAGCAUUAUACUGAAGGUAAGUGCUGUGAUGAAGUGUAGAGAGAGGGUGUCUGAUAUAACUGAGAUGUAGGCUGUGUCCACAUUAGAUAAUUGUAUUCAAAAAAUUCCCAUCUGAGCUACCUACUUCAGCUGUAUGGGUGGGAAUUCUGAUGUAAAAUUCCUUAGUGUCAGAGCACUGAGGGUUUUACAGAUAGUAAUCAACAGCCUGAAUUACACUUGUAAGUGUUUCGGAGUCAGUGCAGAGCAAGAACCAUGGGUGUCGUAUGCAUUUAUCCAUCCACCCUAUCUAAAAUGUGUCAUGCCUUAUUCUGCACUAGUUUCAGAGUAGCAGCCGUGUUAGUCUGUAUUCGCAAAAAGAAAAGGAGUACUUGUGGCACCUUAGAGACUAACCAAUUUUAAAUUGGUUAGUCUCUAAGGUGCCACAAGAACUCCUUUUCAUUCUGCACUAGCUAAAGCUUCCGUGUGUCCUGCAAGAGAAGCCCCCAACUAGAGUGUGCUGCUAUGGACUAGUCUGGAGUUGGCGAAGUCAUGGAUAGCCAUGGUUUCAUCUGCAUCAGAGAAGGAAAAGAUGAAAUCUUGUGGCCAGGAAAGGAUGGUUGUGGCCCAAUUGUGCCAGGUGCUGUACAAACACACAGAAAAGGACAAUCCCUUUUCCCAAAGAGUUUCAUCUUGCUCCAGUCUAACAGACAAGACAUUAGCAGAUGAGAUGAACAGGUAAGUGGGGAUAGGGAGUGUGGGGACAUACAGUCACAAGAAUAGGAUGUGUGCAAUUCUUAGUCAAUUGGGUGGUAAUCACAGCUCACCACCUAUUCAUCUUGUCUGGCCUUGUGCAUAACACAGGCCACAGAAUUUCACUCGGUGCCUGCUCUGAGCCCAGUAGCUUGUGGUUGAUCUACAGCAUAAUCUUUUAGAAAAACAUCCAGACUGGGUUUAAAGAAUCCAACGGAUGGAGUAUGGACCACGUUCCUUGGUAAGCUGGUUCUGAACCCUGCUAGAAGAGCAGGGCAGUUGCUGGCCUCCAUGAAACAGAGAGUUGGGCCCAGAUCUGCAAAGGGACUGAGACAGUGUGAUGCUGAGCAUUGCCAUGCCUAACUUUUAGGCACCUAGAAAAUCAUAGGAACAGCCCUGCAAUCCACAGAGCCUGAGUUAGGUGCCCAGACUCCUAUACAGUGAAAGGGGAGAGAGAGGCAUCUUAGCCCUGGUCUACACUAUGAGUUUAGGUUGAAUUUAGCACCGUUAGGUCGAUUUAACCCUGCACCCGUCCACACGACCAAGCCUGUUUUGUAAAAUCAAUUUCUGUACUCCUCCCCGGUGAGGGGAGUUGAGCUAAAAUCGACCUUGCUGGGUCGAAUUUGGGGUAGUGUGGAUGCAAUUAGACGGUAUUGGCCUCCGGGAGCUAUCCCAGAGUGCUCCAUUAUGACCACUCUGGACAGCACUCUCAACUCAGAUGCACUGGCCAGGUAGACAGGAAAAGCCCCGGGAACUUUUGAAUUUCAUUUCCUGUUUGGCCAGCGUGGCGAGCUGAUCAGCACAGGUGAUCAUGCAGAGCUCAUCAGCACAGGUGCCCAUGGAGUCCCAGAAUCACGAAAGAGGUCCAGCAUGGACCGAAAGGGAGAUACUGGAUCUGAUCGCUGUAUGGGGAGAAGAAUCUGUGCAGGCAGAACUCUGUUCCAAAAGAGAAAAUGCCAAUAUAUUUGCCAAAAUCUCCAAGGGCAUGAUGGACACAGGCUACAACAGGGACACACAGCAGUGCCGCAUGAAAGUUAAGGAGCUGAGGCAAGCCUACCAAAAAAUAAAGGAUGCAGACGGUUGCUCCAGGUCAGAGCCUCAUACAUGCCGCUUCUAUGAUAAGCACCCCUACCACUACCCCAUCACUGUCCGUGGACACCUGCAAGGGGGAGUCUCAUGCAACAGGGAUGAGGAUUUUGUGGAUGAGGAGGAGGAGGUUGAGGAUAGCACACAGCAGACAAGCCGAGAAUCCCUUCUACCCGGCAGCCAGGAACUGUUCAUCACCCUGGAGCCAAUACCCUCCUAACCCUCCCAAGGCGGGCUCCCGGACCAUGAAGCCAGAGAAGGGACCUCUGCUCCAAAUGUUUCUACGCUCCCCCAUCAUCUCCGUCCCAGAGGCUAGCGCAGAUUAGAAGGCGAAAAAAACGCACUCGUGAUGAAAUGUUCUCAGAGCUCAUGCAGUCCUCCCGCACUGAAAGAGCUCAGCAGAAUGCA